rnacentral:lncRNA from 1 species
ACUGCCUCUGUUCCUCUUCAAGAUACUGCUACCUGCUGUGAGGCCCCAGAGCUAUUCUGGAAACUAUGCCCUAUCCUGCACAUCAUCACCUGCAGCUGGUUCCAGGCUCCAAGGAUGAAUCGGUGGGAAUGGACCUUCUCCCCUUUUCUUUAUAAGAUUCCAAGAUGCCUUCCAGGCUCGAAUCCGGACAUGUGAGACGCUGGCUGGUCUCAACAAUUUGGCGAACCAACGCCUGGGAAAGGCAGAGGACAUUUGGAAGAAGCACUGCUGGUUUGGAGCUCCAUGGAAGAAGAAAAGAAUUAAAGAAAAUUCGUACCGGAGAAGGUUGGUACGGGCUAAGCUGGAGCAGCGCUAAACCCGCGGUCUGGAUUCACUUAGGUUCAGCAGUGAGUUAUCGGGAGCUAGGAACUCAACAGGCAGGCAGUCGGCUUCAGCUUCUAGAAGCUGCUUUUUUAGGAGAGAGAAAUAAUAGGCU